AAAAAGACAAACACUGAAUUUUCGUGUCCAACGUUUGACUGUCCGUCUUAUAUAAAAUUUUUUAUAAUUAGUAUUUUCAUUGUUGUUAGAUGAUAAAACAUAAUUAAUACUUUAUACGUGACUUGUCGUUUUAAUUUUUUUAUAAUUUUUUUAAAUAAGGCGGACGAUCAACGAACGUGGGAUACAUAAACCUUAAU
rfam:Oryza barthii chromosome 1, whole genome shotgun sequence.